GAUGAACGCUGGCGGCGUGCCUAAUACAUGCAAGUCGAGCGAACAGAUGAGGAGCUUGCUCCUCUGACGUUAGCGGCGGACGGGUGAGUAACACGUGGAUAACCUACCUAUAAGACUGGGAUAACUUCGGGAAACCGGAGCUGAUACCGGAUAAUAUAUUGAACCGCAUGGUUCAAUAGUGAAAGACGGUUUUGCUGUCACUUAUAGAUGGAUCCGCGCCGCAUUAGCUAGUUGGUAAGGUAACGGCUUACCAAGGCGACGAUGCGUAGCCGACCUGAGAGGGUGAUCGGCCACACUGGAACUGAGACACGGUCCAGACUCCUACGGGAGGCAGCAGUAGGGAAUCUUCCGCAAUGGGCGAAAGCCUGACGGAGCAACGCCGCGUGAGUGAUGAAGGUCUUCGGAUCGUAAAACUCUGUUAUUAGGGAAGAACAAAUGUGUAAGUAACUAUGCACGUCUUGACGGUACCUAAUCAGAAAGCCACGGCUAACUACGUG
rnacentral:rRNA from 1 species